AAAUUCUACUAAUUCUUUUUGGUCGAAUACUACUAGCAUAAUGGUUAGUAUUGUAUAAUACACGAAGUUCCCGAUAGACAUGUCUUCCUUUAAAAAAAAAAAAAAAAAAAAAAAAAAACCAUUAAUUGAUUAUCUGGUUGAUUAUACCUGAGUUCCACGAAAGUCUGUCCGAAGACUUGUUGAGUGAAAGACCCGGCUUCCAUGAAACUGCAAACACUUCCAACCGAACGCGUUUCUGAACUAUGAAUAUAGUCUCCAACUCUCAACUCUCAACAAUAUAGCAUAUUUGUCUUUCUCUUUUAUGUUGAAUAACUUUUUCUUCUGUUCCGUAUGGAUCACGCUUUCCAAGCUUUAGUUGCCUGCACAUUAGUCGUCUUCUUUCUAACCGGGAUCAUUACUUUCUGGGUGUUCCGGUGUCGAAAACCCAAGAUAACCCAACUCGUAUCCACAACAACCCAGCUACCCUCCAUCACCACCGUCGAUCAGAGCGCUUGCUUCGACCCCAACCUCAAAUUCUCCAUGGCUGAGCUGAGGGCGGCCACCAAAAACUUCUCCCCAGAGUUUAUCAUCGGCGGAGGCAGCUUCGGAACCGUCUACAAGGCCCAGCUCUCCAACGGCGUCACCGUGGCCAUCAAGAGACUCAACCCAGACGCUUUCAAAGGCUUUAGGGAGUUUUGGGCGGAGAUGGUGAUUGGUGACACUGGGUAUGCUCCACCACCCAAAUAUCGCUAAGAUCUUCGGCUAUUGCAUGAGCGGCUCCGAUAGGCUCCUCAUAUACGAGUUUUUUCAGAACGGCAGUUUGGACCGUUGGUUGCACUUGGAGCCCACGUUAACGUUAUCUUGGGGGACCCGGAUUCAGAUUGUCAAGGGUGUGGCUAAUGGCCUCUCUUUUAUGCAUAGUUUGGACAAGCCCAUUGCUCAUCAGAAUAUUAAGUCCCGCAAUGUGUUCUUGGACUCCGAUUUUCAGGCCCAUAUUACUGAUUUCGGUCUAGCAAGGGGGAUUGACAACUCCACUUCUUAUGCAUCCACACAAUCUGCGGAUACAAUGGGUUACUGUUACAUGCCACCUGAGUACAAGGAAGGCCUCAAUUCAGCUACACUUGAGGCUGAUGUUUACAGUUUUGGGAUCUUAAUGUUCGAGAUUGCUACUGGACAGCGCCCCAAUUUGCCAACCCUUUUGGACGGGAAAGAGGUUGGGAUAGUCGAAUGGGCCAGGAAAAUGCUGGCCCAAGAUAAGCAUAUGCAAAUGGUGGAUACUAUUUUGAGGGAUGAUGGCCUAAUAGAGGCCCAUGUGAAAGAGUAUUUUGAAAUUGCAAAAAUGUGUGCUAGCGAGGUACGAAGAGAAAGGCCAACUAUGGCUAUGGUUUAUCAAUUGCUAAAUCCAAUUCCUGCGUGAAUUUGCAUUGCAUUUUCUAGAUUGUUUUUUUUUUUAAAGAAUAUUUUAAA